AGUGAACGCUGGCGGCAGGCCUAACACAUGCAAGUCGAACGGCAGCACAGGAGAGCUUGCUCUCGGGGUGGCGAGUGGCGGACGGGUGAGGAAUAUAUCGGAAUCUACCCUUUCGUGGGGGAUAACGUAGGGAAACUUACGCUAAUACCGCAUACGAACUGAGGUUGAAAGCGGCGGACCGCAAGGCGUCGCGCGGAUGGAUGGGGAGAUAUCAGAUUAGCUAGUUGGCGGGGUAAAGGCCCACCAAGGCGACGAUCGGUAGCUGGUCUGAGAGGAUGAUCAGCCACACUGGAACUGGUACACGGUCCAGACUCCUACGUGAGGCAGCAGUGGGGAAUAUUGGACAAUGGGCGCAAGCCUGAUCCAGCCAUGCCGCGUGUGUGAAGAAGGCCUUCGGGUUGUAAAGCACUUUUGUUGGGAAAGAAAAGCGGUCGGUUAAUACCCGGUCGUUCUGACGGUACCCAAAGAAUAAGCACCGGCUAACUUCGUGCCAGCCGCCGCCGUAAAAC
rnacentral:rRNA from 1 species